AUUGAACGCUGGCGGCAUGCUUUACACAUGCAAGUCGAACGGUAACAGGCCGCAAGGUGCUGACGAGUGGCGAACGGGUGAGUAAUGCAUCGGAACGUGCCCAGUCGUGGGGGAUAACUACUCGAAAGAGUAGCUAAUACCGCAUACGAUCUAUGGAUGAAAGCGGGGGACCGUAAGGCCUCGCGCGAUUGGAGCGGCCGAUGUCAGAUUAGGUAGUUGGUGGGGUAAAGGCUCACCAAGCCAACGAUCUGUAGCUGGUCUGAGAGGACGACCAGCCACACUGGGACUGAGACACGGCCCAGACUCCUACGGGAGGCAGCAGUGGGGAAUUUUGGACAAUGGGCGCAAGCCUGAUCCAGCAAUGCCGCGUGCAGGAAGAAGGCCUUCGGGUCGUAAACUGCUCUUGUACGGAACGAAACGGCUCUGGUUAAUACCCGGGGCUAAUGACGGUACCGUAAGAAUAAGCACCGGCUAACUACGUG
rnacentral:rRNA from 1 species